UACGUAGGGGGCUAGCGUUGUCCGGAUUUAUUGGGCGUAAAGAGUGUGUAGGCGGCUUGGCAAGUCUGCUGUGAAAACUCGAGGCUCAACCUCGAGCUGUCGGUGGAAACUGCUUGGCUAGAGUCCGGAAGAGGAGAGUGGAAUUCCUGGUGUAGCGGUGAAAUGCGCAGAUAUCAGGAAGAACACCUAUGGCGAAGGCAGCUCUCUGGGACGGUACUGACGCUGAGACGCGAAAGCGUGGGGAGCGAACAGG
rnacentral:rRNA from 1 species